UGCCUAAAGGCCACUGGAAAUGGUACUACGGGAUCCACCGACUGGUUCCCAGUAGCCGCUAUCGCUGGCGGUGUGUGUUAUCGGUUAAUGGUCGAUCGCACAACAAGUUCAUUGUGGUUUUUAAGCAGAAAACUGAUAAAUACCCUGGCACUGUGUGACUGGAUGGGAAAUGGGGUUGGGUUCGGAUUGCUCGACUUGACAAAGGGUUUUGGUUGGCUUAAUUAUAUUAAUCAUAUGGAACAACUGCACAGCAAUCCAGUCAAUAAUUAUAAACUAAUUUAUAAAGCCCUCUUACUGUAAUUGCUAAAUUUUCGAUUACAACAUUUGUUCUCCCACUUAAUCGAUGUGUGUUAUCUCAAACUCAACAUGGCAUCGAUGGAUAAUGAUGAUGAUUGAAAAACGAUGACCAGGCAACAACAGCUGGCGUUGCAUGCAACAUGUUGCCAAGAAAUGCAAUUACAUAUUUUCCAAAAUGGCAAUCGGAAGUUCGUUUUUCACAUUUUCCACGCUUAGCCAAAUGGAAAAUGCAAUAAAUCAAAUGCACCAGCAGCAGCAACAACAACGCUUGAGUGCUUUUCUUGUUUAGAGUUGGCAAAGCAAAAUAAAAGUUGCCACUUUAAUAAAACCCCCUCCUCACUUCGUCUCAUUUUGAUUUGUGUGCUUUUGCAGCUUGGCAACAAUAUGGCAAAGAGCAGCGGCAACAAUGGCGAUAAAACUAGAGAAGCUAUGCGGAUAGCGAAGCUAUAAAUACCCUUAAAUGGA